GACGAACGCUGGCGGCGUGCUUAACACAUGCAAGUCGAACGGAAAGGCCCUGCUUUUGUGGGGUGCUCGCGUGGCGAACGGGUGAGUAACACGUGAGUAACCUGCCCUUGACUUUGGGAUAUCUUCAGGAAACUGGGGCUAAUACCGGAUAGGAGCUCCUGCUGCAUGGUGGGGGUUGGAAAGUUUCGGCGGUUGGGGAUGGACUCGCGGCUUAUCAGCUUGUUGGUGGGGUAGUGGCUUACCAAGGCUUUGACGGGUAGCCGGCCUGAGAGGGUGACCGGCCACAUUGGGACUGAGAUACGGCCCAGACGCCUACGGGAGGCAGCAGUGGGGAAUAUUGCACAAUGGGCGGAAGCCUGAUGCAGCAGCGCCGCGUGCGGGAUGACGGCCUUCGGGUUGUAAACCGCUUUCGCCUGUAACGAAGCGUGAGUGACGGUAAUGGGUAAAGAAGCACCGGCUAACUACGUG
rnacentral:rRNA from 1 species